UGUGAGUGCCACUGAAAAUCAGCUUGCGUGCCGCCUUCGGCACGCGUGCCAUAGGUUGCCUACCCCUGAUUUAGGAUAUCCUGGUAACAUACUUAUAUCCUCUCUGUCUGACUCUCCACAUGUCUUACAUUACACUCAAACUUUAAUGACUGGGAAAGAGUUGAAAGUAAAAAAAAAAAAAAAGUGUUGAUGUUUCUGAUCAGGAUAAUUAUACCUGGAAAUGCACCAGGACUAGAGUCCAGGCACAUUUUUUUCCUGGGUGACACACACAACAUUCCAGUCUCAAAAAAGGACCACGCUCCCCAAAGCCACAUUAGGACACUGCACAGUCCACGCUGUUCCACUCUUAAUCUAUAAUCACACAUACACACCCCGCCUGGCUGUUUAAUAUUUUCUGUAUGCAAAUGAAGUUCUAUACACUUGGUGACUGAGACAAGCUGUAGACUGGAUUAUUUCUCCAGUAGGGAGGGGGAUCUCUGCACCAGCUCCAAAUAGAACAGUUCAUAGGAUGGAUGGGGGAAAGGGAACUGUGGUUUCUAUAGCUACAAGGAUCCAUUGUCCCAUAAACUCUGAAAAGCAGCAUCAGCAGUGCUAUUCUAGCCCAUGGGCUGAUACAGUGCUGGGAAGAUUCACUUGUCAUUGGUUCAGAUGAGGAAAAAUGGCAAGUGUUUAUCCACUUAAUCUGUCAGAACAUCUGCAGAGUGACCAGCACUGUAAAAUAAACCAACCUAAGUAUUCCACUUAAUCUGGGAGUGACAAGGAUCUAAAAUUCUAAAUUCUCUAUUGAUCAAUUUUAUAGCUAGCAUAAAAUUAAGAUCCUUUCCCUGCAGGAUGUCGAUAUCUGAGUCACAUCAAGGACACGGAUAUUUUAUAAUCACAACAUGAAAUGUACCCCCUCUUCCUUUCUAGAUUAUUUGGGAGCAGGCAACAGUCACCUGUGUGCCCAGGUGCCUGAUGAUGUCAACAGUAAAGGAGAUCUUGAGUAUCCCAGUGGUGAUAUUGGACAGAUGGGAAUCCUCUAUCCACCCCUCUGCUGCAGUCCUUUUACUUGUAAAGGAAAUUAAUCUUGGAGAUGCCUCCACCUGGCUGGGGCCCUGUACAUACUCAAAGGUGUGCCUUGGGAGCUUCCAGGAGUAACCCUGAGCUAAUCUAUGCAAAAAGUCUAACUCAAAAGUACCAAUUUUAAAUAAUAUACACCCAAUAUGCACUUAGAUUAGAGUUAACAAACCUUUACUCAACAAUUUAGAAACACGUGAUGUAACACACUGAGAAUGAAAAUGCCACAACCACUUUAAAUCAGCAGGGGGCACUUCAAUAAAUCAGUUAACUGCAGUUUACAGCAGUAAAUGAAACUUCACCAAUUUACAUUUACACUGCCACCAUUUCCCCACCCCCUGAGUGUGCACUCCUCUGAAUUUCAGAGUUCUAGAUGCUUGCGUGGGCGUGCUUGCUGUUGAAGCUGAGGACAGCACUCUGUUGGUCCAGUAAACCAGUCCAGCUACGGCAACAUGGGGAGAGCAAUUCUAACUUGGGAUCAUUUCAAGCUGCACAACCCCUCUGAAGAUUGGAGUUGUUAUAGCCAGAGAUUUGAGAAAAUCUUGAUUCCCACCCCUAAAGCAAUGAAGAAAUAGAGACUGGAUCCAACUUCUGCCCCAUGCUGGACAAGGGCACUACCACAAGACCAACAGUCAGUUACAUUUAAACUAGUGGAAUUUCCCAUUGCUUGAACUUGUAGGACAGGUAAUAGCAACGUUGAGCUGAGUUGUUCCAUUUUCAAAAGCUGCAUCAGCUUUAUGAGUUUCCCAGACACCACAAUGGGCUGGGGUUCUUUCCUUAAUGGAGGUGUAUUAGAACUUAAGAACUAGCCCAUUAAUGCUUGUCCUGGACUACUUGAGUCAAUGGAGAGGGUAGUGUGACCCUUCCUUUUAUUAUUUUCUACCCCUCUUCAAAUAUUUUCCCUAAUAAGAGCCCAAUCAUGCUAGAGCUGAGCACUCUCAAUUCCCACUGAUUUCAAUUGGUGUUGAUGUCACUCAGUAUUAGGCUGAAAGUAUUUGGCACUUUGUCCCAUCCAUUUGGCCUUCCAUGCUCAAAAUUUCUACUUUUGUCAGUUGGAGUCUGGGGUACUCUCAGUAGCUCACAGGAUCAAGCCCUUGAUCAGUAGUAAGUCAAACCCAGCACCACAAGAAAAUUUAACCCAGCCUGUUACUAAAAGAAAUAGUAAAAUUGGUUUCAAGAUCUUUCUGGGGGAAGCUGGUGAUAUCAGCAGAUUGCUAAGUCACAGAUAGAAUGAUAGAGGGAUGGCGGGAGCACAAAAAGUUUACAGUCACUGCAAUGGGGAUCGGGACUUAACUCAUCCCUUCUGAGGGGACCUUUUUCAAGAACGUUGAGCAAAAGCCCUUUGGUCACUAAGGUUUAGGGGAGUUAGCUACAAACACACACAUGCUUUCCCCACUGGGUAUGUGACCAGACAAUGAAAGUUUGUACGAUAUUUGAUAUCCUGCUGGAGAGUUUUGCUGGGUGAAGUUUCCCUGCAGCUGGAAUUCUCCCUUUCUAGCUUGCUCCUGCAGUUCCAGCUGGUCCUAGACAAAUUAAUUUUUUAUGUGUCAAACUCAGUGGUGAUUAUUUUUCUAGCACCCCUUUGAACUCUAAAACCUUUUUUCUCCAAGGAGACACAGCAUAGUUUCUGGGCUAUCAAAAUCAAACCAACUGACAAGUGGUGACCAUUGAUAUUUUAAAACAAAAUAUUAUCAAUUUUGUUAUACUAUUUUUAAAUCUACCAAUAAAGUGUAUUUUCCCUACAUAUGUUACGCUGAAAAUUCAUGAAGGGGAAAACCAAACACAUAGCAUGAAGAUUAUCUUCCUGAGAAACAACCACCUGGAUGAAUAUUCCUUUUACCCCUGGGAAUGCCUACAAGAUUUCAAGAAAUUCUGCUCUGUGCCUCUAAGAGGUGCAGCACAGAACUCAUAGCUUAGGAGGACGUGGGGGGCUAAAGUGAUUUUAAGCCACUUUUGAAUCCUCCCAAUUCUGGAUUAUUCCACGGGGUCAGAGAGGCCCCUGGCAUAAUUUAGACAGCCGGGGGUCUGUGGAAAUUACAGCAGCCAUCCUGUUGCUCCAGAUUUGAGAGGUGUAUGAACUCCAGAAUUCAAUUAAACUAAUUGCAACCAUAUUAUGUACAUUCAGCCACCAUGAAUUAAUAAAAUAGAACACCACAUAGUUAAGGGUUAAUUUGAACAAGCAGGGCUUUGGGAGGCAAGGUCAAAUGCUAGCUGCAUGCCUGCUGUUUCUGCUAAUCAGAAUAGGAGGAGGGGAGAAAAGAGUCAACAAAUUGAGACUGAAAGAAAAUAGGUGGAUUGAAACCUUGAGUUUUGGGUGCCUUUGAUAUAGAAGCUUAUUUAUGACUAAGAUUGUUAGGAAUGUUUGUUGCCAAGUAGUUUAUUGAAGUUAGGAGAAGUGAUGACCCGGUAGGGGUCACCAUGAGCUAUGUGUUUCAUAAACGUUAGUUACAAAAGACUAGGUAAUAGCGUGUACUUUGGAGGAGUUCUCUGAAGCUAUCCUGAGAAACUUUUUCCUGAUACCAUACUCCCCGGCGGGGAAGCAACUGGCCAUCAUGAACCUGCUGUAAAUUAUUCAAUAUCAUCUCAGAUUCUAGGUAAUUAUAUGGGAUGUUUUAAACCUAUUACUUAUGUCUGUGUGUGCUUGAAUCUAAUAAAUUGUAGUUUUAACUCA